UGCAGCGGAAAUAUUAUUACUAAAUUUUACAAGUUACAAAAAUUUUACAUUAUUUUAUCGGAGUGAUUGCAAAAGUAUAAGUUUGAAAUAUAUGCUAGCUCAAGUGACCAUCCUCAAUAAGAAGUAUAGAAGGGUUACUUAGACUUAUAAGAAGGCCGAGCCCACUGGCUACUUAACACCAUCAGCAGCAGCACAAAACUAUAACCUGAAAAACAACAGGGAAUAAAACCAUGAGUACGAAAUUACUCAGCAAGACUUACCCGACUAAAGAAAAGACUCUCAAGGGUAUGCUGGCUAGAGAGAUUCAAGGUAUGGCUUAUCAAGAAUCAAAGACUCUAUUUUGCAAAAAACUUACUAUGAG
rnacentral:lncRNA from 1 species